AGCUGUGAUUACAAACGUGCCACUAUACCCGGAGCUUAUGGUCUUUUCUUAACAUUUCUUGAUGACGAGGAUGGGAUUUGAAGUGGCACCCUUGCUUUUUCCCAACACUAUCUGGACCAAUGCAUUUGCACCUGCAAGAACCCCUUGAGCUCACUUAUCUUCCUGGCUGCACCAGGGAGAAAUGAGGUGGCUGCCUUUUCACUGUGUCUUCACAUGACUUUUCAUCUGUGUAAGAAAACCCCUGCAUGUCUUUGUGUAUUCAAAUUUUCUUUUCUUAUAAGGACAGCUGUCCUUAGAUUGGAUUAGG
rnacentral:lncRNA from 1 species